rnacentral:rRNA from 1 species
UACGUAGGGUGCGAGCGUUAAUCGGAAUUACUGGGCGUAAAGCGUGCGCAGGCGGUUUUUUAAGACAGGCGUGAAAUCCCCGGGCUUAACCUGGGAACUGCGCUUGUGACUGGAAGGCUAGAGUACGGCAGAGGGGGGUGGAAUUCCACGUGUAGCAGUGAAAUGCGUAGAGAUCAGGAGGAACACCCGUGGCGAAGGCGGCUCCCUGGUCCGUCCCUGACGCUGAGACGCGAAAGCGCGGGGAGCGAGCGGG